UUAAAUUACCAUUUUUUAGAGUCGGGGAAUUAUAAAUUUUAACAUUUUUGCAUACUUGCAUGAUCUAUGAAUAAAUAAACAGCUGGGAAAUUCUCUGCUGUUUUAGGCUUUAUAGAUCAGGUUUUGUUGAGUUUUCCUUUUCGACUACAGGUUUGGUUGAGAUAGAAUCUCUGUUGGGCCGGUGCUUCUUCCACUUCUUUUUCUGUAACUCCGUCAACCAGGAUGGAACUUCACAACCUGAGGAUGCCAUUAGAUUAGCUACAUUCCGCAAGAAUGGAAUAUCCUCCUCUGUGUAAAAU
rnacentral:lncRNA from 1 species